GGCCCUCAUUCCACUGUUCCCCACCCCUACCCAGCUGUGUGAGGACCCCUGCCACGUUCUAGCACAGCCCCUCUAUGGGAGCUGCGGGGCUGGCCUCACUCACUCUUCCUUGCUUCCCUGCAGCAGAGGGGACGUGGCUGGUGGCUGGAGAAGCUGGAUUUGCCCUUUGAUGGUGGCCCUCUUGAUCCCCGGCUUGCUGAAGUCAAAGGAGAGGCUGUCGAUGCUGAGGCACGAGAGAAUUUGCUCCUGCUCCUCCAGAGAAAAUGGCUGGGACAGGCUGUUGAGGAAUAAUUCUGCAGGGAAAAGUGGAAGAUGGCUGUGAAAGACUGGGAGGAGGCUGGCUGUGUUUUCAGGGGUUCUUCCUGCACAGUCGGUAGAAGCUGAGCUGCUGGGGAAGGGGCUGGAAGAAAGCCCACACCGCAGGUAUCAGUAGCAAAUUCAAAAACUACAGAAUCAGCUCCAGAGGACUUUGUUAACAAGAAAGAGAAGAUUGAAAACAGCCCUGGGGCUACACCAACUCAAGAGCUCCCAGGCAAAGUGGCAUCCUGGACCCACCAUCUCUCCUACCCCAUCCUCAGUCGGUACUUCCCCAGGCACCGUUUGUUCUGGCAUGGGGCUAGUUCAGCCCUGGGACCACCCUCAUCCUUAUAACUACCAGCUGUCUUUGGUGAGGUGCAA
rnacentral:lncRNA from 1 species